GUUGUCCAUUCCUUAACAUGAAUUAAGAUUGGAACAAUACAGAGAAGUUUAGCAUGAAGCUGCGCAAGUAUAGCACGCAAAUUCGUGAAGCUUUCGAAAAAUUC
rnacentral:snRNA from 1 species